rnacentral:rRNA from 1 species
UGGGGAAUAUUGGACAAUGGGCGAAAGCCUGAUCCAGCCAUGCCGCGUGUGUGAAGAAGGUCUUCGGAUUGUAAAGCACUUUAAGUUGGGAGGAAGGGCAUUAACCUAAUACGUUAGUGUUUUGACGUUACCGACAGAAUAAGCACCGGCUAACUCUGUGCCAGCAGCCGCGGUAAUACAGAGGGUGCAAGCGUUAAUCGGAAUUACUGGGCGUAAAGCGCGCGUAGGUGGUCUGUUAAGUUGGAUGUGAAAUCCCCGGGCUCAACCUGGGAACUGCAUUCAAAACUGACUGACUAGAGUAUGGUAGAGGGUGGUGGAAUUUCCUGUGUAGCGGUGAAAUGCGUAGAUAUAGGAAGGAACACCAGUGGCGAAGGCGACCACCUGGACUGAUACUGACACUGAGGUGCGAAAGCGUGGGGAGCAAACA